rnacentral:rRNA from 1 species
AACGAAGCGCUUAAGAAUGAUUCUUCGGAUGAAGUCUUUUGUGACUUAGUGGCGGACGGGUGAGUAACGCGUGGGUAACCUGCCUCACACAGGGGGAUAACAGUUGGAAACGACCGCUAAUACCGCAUAACCCGCUGGUGCCGCAUGGCACUGACGGAAAAGAUUUAUCGGUGUGAGAUGGACCCGCGUCUGAUUAGCCAGUUGGCAGGGUAACGGCCUACCAAAGCGACGAUCAGUAGCCGGCCUGAGAGGGUGAACGGCCACAUUGGGACUGAGACACGGCCCAAACUCCUACGGGAGGCAGCAGUGGGGAAUAUUGCACAAUGGGGGAAACCCUGAUGCAGCGACGCCGCGUGAGUGAAGAAGUAUUUCGGUAUGUAAAGCUCUAUCAGCAGGGAAGAAAAUGACGGUACCUGACCAAGAAGCCCCGGCUAACUACGUGCCAGCAGCCGCGGUAAUACGUAGGGGGCAAGCGUUAUCCGGAUUUACUGGGUGUAAAGGGAGCGUAGACGGUGAUGCAAGUCAGAAGUGAAAGCCCGGGGCUCAACUCCGGGACUGCUUUUGAAACUGUGUAACUGGAGUGCAGGAGAGGUAAGCGGAAUUCCUGGUG